CUGAUAGAUAUAGUUUUAUUAACCCUUUCAUGCGUGAGUUCCAAAUAUCUCUAACGGUCGCCCCAGCGUGAGUUUUUUUAUGCACGUGAUGUUAGAAUGUUCUCUCCAUUCCAGAAUGUGAUUGAUACGUAACAGUACAUUUUAUCCGCGCUGCCCUCAAACUAAAGCACGCAGCCUGUUUAUAUUUAUAAGUUGUUUUAACUUCAAUUUAAAAUGAUUUUCAAACAAGUUUUUAUUUUCUAAAAACAGUUUGAAUUUAGGUGUGUUCCGCCUCCUCAUUCAUUCACAUAAAAAUAGUCAUUUUUACUUUUGCGGAUAAUUACAUUUUUGGGACAUUUCUGACAGGGACAAAAUUCCCCAAGCACUUCCCAAUUGUUUGUGCAGUUCACGUCUGCAGACAUUUGCUCAUCUCCCGUCAGAACAGGAUCUGCACACGUGUUCACAUUUUCUAUUCCACAUUUCUAUUGUAGCGUACUGUAUGUAUAGAGCAUAAUAUAUUUGUGUAUAUUCUUUAUCACCGCGGAAACGUGAGGUAACGUUACUCAUUUUAUAACCUUUAUGAUGUUAUAGUCAAUCGUGCUUAUGUAGCCACAUUCUUCUAUUAGCUCUGUAAAACAAUGCUAAAUGCGUCAGAGAAGUAUUAUCUUGUGUUGCAUUUUGAAGCUACCAUGGCCUUAUGACUCUCAAGUGGUGCAGCGGUCAAAGGCACAGCACAUCAGUACUAGAGGUGUCACUACAGACUCCCUGGUUCAAAUCCAGGCUGCGUUUCCAUCAAAAAACAUUAUUUGCCAAUAUCAUAACUGAAGCUGGACAUCUUUGGAGCAUAAGAAUGAGGACAGCUUUUGUAUGCUAACGUACACUCCUUAACAGUUGUACUGGAUGAAAACACAGCAAGAAAACGCAUGCCAAUAUGUAAUAUUCAUCUAUUUUAUUGCAGUACUGGUAGUUAUUUCAACAACUUGUUUUACUAGAGGACAAAAAACUGAAUAUGCGUAACCCAUAUUUAAUAUCCAUGCAGUGACUGAACAACAACUGCAUUUCCACCCCAUCUCUAAGGCAUAGUAUCAUGGCUGGUCACCUGUCAAGUCACAUGUCAGGUCAGUCAGUCACCUAUUGCUGCAGAUGUGCUCAAUAAUGCUUGAGUAUGUGAUACUCCUCAAAGCAUGGUGAAAUACAUAGAGGUGUAUCACAAGCUAGACACAUGUAUUUUGUCAUCUUCCUCUGCUUACUUCUCCUGGCGCCAGACAGGCAGACUUUGCAAUGCCUCCGUGUGCGACUACCUUGAGAAGCAGUUUGAGGGACUUUGCAGGGAAAAUGUCGUGCAGUGAGGCGUAGGGGAUUGUCUACAGCAGGACGACCCCCAGUGGAUGGGCGCCGAGGGGUGUGGUGCUCCUCCAGCAGCUCUCUCAUGAGGUUCUCUCUGUAUUUUUGGUGGUCCACCUUCCCUGUGGCCGACAUGGUUGCUGUAUGGACAGUGGAGAGGACAUGGACGUCUCGCUUGUCAUGCCACUUUACUGCCAGCUGUUGACCGUUCUCUUGGAACUCCACCUCCCUCUCUGCAUCUUCCUGCAUCCGAAUGCCGGCAUCCCCUUCCUGUUCGACCUGACUGUGCCACAUGCCCCUGUGCUGUUGGAGAGCAGAUGCUGGAAGAGUGUGGGACUGCUGUACCAAUUGUCCACGUACAAAGUGUGUCCCUUGCCGAGAUGAGGAGCCAGCAUGGUCAUCACCACGGACCCUGACACCCCAAGCCCAUCAUAAUGUUUGAUGUCAGUGGUGGACCCUGUGUAAACUAUAAUAUCCUGGACAAAUCCUGUCUUCACGUCGCACAUGACAAAGAACUUGACUCCAAACCUGUGCCUUUUGGAGGGAAUAUAUUGACGGAACGCCAGCCUACCUUUCCAUAACAUCAGGGACUCAUCAAUGCAUAGGUCCUUGUAUGGCACAAAGACCGACCAAAUGCUGAUGUCAGGCUGAUAAGAACAUUUCUUAUUUUGUAUAACGGGUCACUUAGGAUGGCAGUAGCAUUGUUGACAAAAUGCAGGCAUCGCAGAAGAACUAGGAAGCGAUCUUGGGAAAAGAGGGAGGCAAAGAAGGGAGUUGCAAACAUAGGAUCUGUGCUCCAGUAUUCUCUUAGGGAGUUCUUCUUUACUAUUCCCAUGAGAAGGACUGUCACCAGGAAGGUAUACAUUUCACUAAUUGUGGUUGUCACCCAUUUAGCGAGUUUCCCCCUCACUCCUGGCUCUCUCUUCUCCUGUAGCUCUAAGGCAUAGCGAUUGGUCUCCUCAACUAUCUCUCCCACCAGCUCCUCUGUGAGAAACAACUUGAAGCACUCUGCCUCAGUUGGAAAUGGCAAGGGGCGUUGCACUCCAGACUGGGACUCGUCAAAGCAGACAGCAGGGCCAGGUGGGGUGAAAUGACUGGUGGCCUUCCAGCUACCACAGAACUCCUGUACUUCAUCCACUGUCGGCCUGCCUCCAUCACCACCAGCAUCUUCAAAGGGACCUGGUACUUCCUCAGUUGACAAGGGAAAUUUAGAUUCAGGGUUCUCAAUGGCUACAAGGUUGAGGGGCAGCUCCUCACUGUCACUGUCAGAAUCUGAUUCCUGACUUUCAUACUCAGACUCAUUGUCAGAAUUUAAAAAAUCUCCAGAAUUUCCACAUUUGUGAGUUGUCUCCUUUUGAAAGACAUUGUUAAAUGCUACAGUUUAGCUCACUAGCUACAUACAUAAACAACAACACUGAAUGGCGCAGAGUGGGAGGUUACGUGGUUGACUGCCGGCACGCGCCACUUGUAUCAAUAAAUCACUAUCAGAAAAUG